ensembl:rRNA 5S_rRNA 5S ribosomal RNA
GUCUAUGGCCAUACCACCCUGAAUCUCGUCUGAUCUCAGAAGCUAAGCAGGCUUGGGCCUAGUUAGUACUUGGAUGGGAAAUAAUCAGAAGGAUCGAAAGAUAAAUG